rnacentral:rRNA from 1 species
GACGAACGCUGGCGGCGUGCCUAAUACAUGCAAGUCGAACGAAGCUGUUUUAACUGGUGCUUGCACCGACUUAAACAACUGAGUGGCGAACGGGUGAGUAACACGCGGGUAACCUGCCCCAAAGCGGGGGAUAACAUUUGGAAACAGAUGCUAAUACCGCAUAACCACAGAAACCACAUGGUUUCUGUGUCAAAGAUGGUUUCGGCUAUCACUUUGGGAUGGACCCGCGGCGUAUUAGCUAGUUGGUAAGGUAAUGGCUUACCAAGGCAAUGAUACGUAGCCGAACUGGGAGGUUGAUCGGCCAAAUUGGGACUGAGACACGGCCCAAACUCCUACGGGAGGCAGCAGUAGGGAAUCUUCCACAAUGGACGAAAGUCUGAUGGAGCAACGCCGCGUGAGUGAAGAAGGUUUUCGGAUCGUAAAACUCUGUUGUCAGAGAAGAACGUGUGCGAGAGUAACUGUUCGUGCAGUGACGGUAUCUGGCCAGAAAGCCACGGCUAACUACGUGCCAGCAGCCGCGGUAA